CGGGGUGUAGCUCAGUUGGCUAGAGCGCGUGGUUUGGGACCAUGAGGUCGCAGGUUCAAGUCCUGUCUCCCCGA
rnacentral:tRNA from 1 species